GUGUACGGCAACGCCACCUUGAACAAGCUUGAUGUCUGGUCUCGGAAGCUAAGCAGGCUCAGGCCUGGUUAGUACUUGGAUGGGAGACCACCUAGGAAGACCAGGUGCUGGAGGCA
rnacentral:rRNA from 1 species